rnacentral:rRNA from 1 species
GACGAACGCUGGCGGCGUGCUUAACACAUGCAAGUCGAACGGUGAAGCGCCUUCCUUUUUGGUGGGUGUGGAUGAGUGGCGAACGGGUGAGUAACACGUGAGUAACCUGCCCCCUUCUUCUGGAUAACCGCAUGAAAGUGUGGCUAAUACGGGAUAUUCUGGGUCUGUCGCAUGAUGGGUCUGGGAAAGAUAUUGUUUCGGUGGGGGAUGGGCUCGCGGCCUAUCAGCUUGUUGGUGGGGUGAUGGCCUACCAAGGCGGUGACGGGUAGCCGGCCUGGGAGGGUGGACGGUCACACUGGGACUGAGACACGGCCCAGACUCCUACGGGAGGCAGCAGGGGGGAAUAUUGCACAAUGGGCGCAAGCCUGAUGCAGCGACGCCGCGUGAGGGAUGGAGGCCUGCGGGUUGUGAACCUCUUUCGCCAGUGAAGCAGGCCUGCCUCGUUUGUGGGUGGGUUGACGGUAGCUGGAGAAGAAGCGCCGGCUAACUACGUG